UCGGCUUAUUUCCUCACCAGGUGGCAGCACUGCCUUCUUUGGACACAGAAACUGUGGCGGCGAAUGCGCCACUGUGUUUUGCACUGUGUGGAGUCCGUGCGGUGUCGUUCCGAGGGACUGAAUUUCGGUGAAUUUGAUAGCAAUUGAUUUGAAUUUUGCUCAGAUGGGUUGUGAAUUUAUAUUCAGCAAGUGUCACAAACAUGGAAAGGCAAGUUUACAAAGGACAGGAGACUUAGAAAGGCUUCAAUUGACGUAGCCGAAGAGAGGCGAGAAGCCGAAGAUAGACCGACUCCAAACGAUGCCCAGUGCAAUCAUGCUUCUGGUCACUGGUGCGGAGUUGUCAGGAUGGAGUCCGAGGAAUCAAGGAAGGCAGAGGACCUGCGUAUGAAGGAACCAGCCCUGCGGAUGAAGUUCUGAGGUGCAUACAGAGGGAUCCCACUGAAAGACCAGGUGCAAUGCUGCAUUGAUAAGAUCCAGAUUCAAGAGCAUGGAUGCUACUAGAUCCUGUGAUUUGAAGUUACCAGUGUCACUGCUGCUACAAAUGACAUCAGCAACACUUCCUUUGGUGAAAGUUUAGAGGAGCAAACAGUUGGUGCUCUGUGUAGUCAAGCAGUGGAGUUUUGCCACAAUCAUGAAGUUGAUUAAGGAGUCAAUUUUUGCUCUGGCUUCUGGGACACCUUUAAUCUACAUUGCAACCUAUGCUAGUGUUCAACAUUUCGUGUCAUAGUAUCACUGAUGCAAAGCGUGUUGCAUCAUACACAAAUGAGAGCCAGCAAAUUGUCAGAUAUUUUCUAAUGAUAGAGAACUGCAUGCCUUAAGCAAUUGUUGAGUGGUGAAUGGUAGGGCUCAGCCACUCAGCUCCUUCCUUCAAAAGCUAUCAAUCAGCUCUGGAAGAGUAGUCAUAGCAAUGCUUCAUAUGUGAAGGCUACUUGCCUGAACAGAACAUUGUGGAUUUGUUAAUUAAGUACCUCUUUAUUACAAGUUAGUGCCCACUACAAGCCAAGCUUAGUUUACUUAGUUUGUUGCAAGUUUUCCAGGCAUCCUUCACACUUGUGUCGCUGAACAUUAAACUUCAACUGAUAGACCGAUGAGAUAUUGUCCCUCAUCAGAUUGUAAUCAGUCAGUCGUGUUGGUAGAAGGUACAGUCUGUCUUAAAAGUACCGCGCAAAGUGACGGUGGAUCCAUCAAGCCUGACCGAGGAAGGGCCUGCUAUAAUUUGAAAGUCACCGAACCAAUUGACCUGGGGAACGGACGAGGAUGUCAUAUAGAGCCACGCAGAAAUCGCCGGUGAUUCGUUGCCCAUCAUAACAGAAUGGACGCAUGCCGGAUGAAGGGUUAAGUCAAUAGUCUGUACAAACUACAGGGAUGUGAUUGACUUAUCUGACAGUGACGAGCGCUAGAAGUCAACUUAAGGCCGUAGGUA